rnacentral:rRNA from 1 species
GACGAACGCUGGCGGCGUGCUUAACACAUGCAAGUCGAACGGAAAGGCCCUGCUUUUGUGGGGUGCUCGAGUGGCGAACGGGUGAGUAACACGUGAGUAACCUGCCCUUGACUUUGGGAUAACUUCAGGAAACUGGGGCUAAUACCGGAUAGGAGCUCCUGCUGCAUGGUGGGGGUUGGAAAGUUUCGGCGGUUGGGGAUGGACUCGCGGCUUAUCAGCUUGUUGGUGGGGUAGUGGCUUACCAAGGCUUUGACGGGUAGCCGGCCUGAGAGGGUGACCGGCCACAUUGGGACUGAGAGACGGCCCAGACUCCUACGGGAGGCAGCAGUGGGGAAUAUUGCACAAUGGGCGGAAGCCUGAUGCAGCAACGCCGCGUGCGGGAUGACGGCCUUCGGGUUGGAAACCGCUUUCGCCUGUGACGAAGCGUGAGUGACGGUAAUGGGUAAAGAAGCACCGGCUAACUACGU